AUGGACACACUGUAUCCCACCCUCCUGCUGCUGACCACCCCUUCCUGGGCUCUGUCCCAGAUCAACCUGCAGGAGUCUGGUCCUGGGCUGCUGAAGCCCACCCAGACCCUUACGCUGACCUGCUCCUUCUCUGGGUUCUCACUGACUACUGAUAUUGGUGUUGGUUGGAUCCGUCAACCCCCUGGGAAGCGCCUGGAGUGGCUCACCUAUGUUUGCUGGACUGAUGAAAAGCAUUACAACCCAUCUCUGAAGAGCCGGCUCGCAAUCUCCAAGGACACCUCAAAAAACCAGGUGAUACUGACAAUGACCAGUUUGGACCCUGCAGACAUAGCCACAUAUUACUGUGUAAAGAGGGAACAGAGAUACAUUCCAGGGGCCUCCUAUACAAAAACCCUGUCUGGGUCUCACCAGGGCCCCCACCUCUGCAGAACAGGAAACUGUGGGGAGAUGGCAUUUCCUGCCAGGCUCUGGGGUUUCCUCUUACAGUGA